rnacentral:rRNA from 1 species
UACGUAGGGUGCAAGCGUUAAUCGGAAUUACUGGGCGUAAAGCGUGCGCAGGCGGUGAUGUAAGACAGAUGUGAAAUCCCCGGGCUCAACCUGGGAACUGCAUUUGUGACUGCAUCGCUGGAGUGCGGCAGAGGGGGAUGGAAUUCCGCGUGUAGCAGUGAUAUGCGUAGAUAUGCGGAGGAACACCGAUGGCGAAGGCAAUCCCCUGGGCCUGCACUGACGCUCAUGCACGAAAGCGUGGGGAGCAAACAGG